rnacentral:rRNA from 1 species
UACGGAGGAUCCAAGCGUUAUCCGGAAUCAUUGGGUUUAAAGGGUCCGUAGGCGGUUUUUUAAGUCAGUGGUGAAAGCCCAUCGCUCAACGGUGGAACGGCCAUUGAUACUGCAAGACUUGAAUUAUUAGGAAGUAACUAGAAUAUGUAGUGUAGCGGUGAAAUGCUUAGAGAUUACAUGGAAUACCAAUUGCGAAGGCAGGUUACUACUAAUGGAUUGACGCUGAUGGACGAAAGCGUGGGGAGCGAACAGG